GAUGAAGAACGUAGCGAAAUGCGAUAAGUAAUGCGAAUUGCAGAAUUCAGUGAAUCAUCGAAUCUUUGAACGCACAUUGCGCCCUCUGGUAUUCCGGGGGGCAUGCCUGUUCGAGCGUCAUUAUAACCACUCAAGCUCUCGCUUGGUAUUGGGGUUCGCGGUUCCGCGGCCCCUAAAAUCAGUGGCGGUGCCUGUCGGCUCUACGCGUAGUAAUACUCCUCGCGAUUGAGUCCGGUAGGUCUACUUGCCAGCAACCCCCAAUUUUUACAGGUUGACCUCGGAUCAGGUAGGGAUACCCGCUGAACUUAAGCAUAUCAAUAAGCGGAGGA
rnacentral:misc_RNA from 1 species